GCCGCCCGGAGGGAGCCGGGAGAACGGCCGCGGCGGCCGAGCAUCCCCGACGCCCCUGCUUUCUCACCUGGGCUCGUGGAGAGUGCGAUCUUAGUCUCCUGCCUCACUUGAAACGGUUAGCAAGAGUAAGUUCCACCAGUCCACCAUUUGGUCUUCACAGGCAAGCCAAGGUCUUCAGGUUAAACCACACCUCCUGCAGUUCCAUCUACAGACAUGCCRUGAAGUGGAGUGAAACACAGGUGAAAGGAGCCCACUUGGCCUUCCAUCCACUGGACAGGUCUUCCAAAUCCAUUGGAAAAGAAAUGAAGCAACAAGCAGAAAAUUAAGAUUUGGUUGCUAAAUAUCAGAUAAGUAAACUACUUCUCAAAAGUAUACAGCCUACUACCCAGUAGUUUGCUGAAAGACAAUUAAACUUUUAAUAAUGUG